rnacentral:other from 1 species
GAGUCCCUGCAGGGUGCGUGAUUGAGUCAUCUAACGCUUGGACCGAUAUUUCUUACCCGGGUGCUCGGGUCUCACGCCGCGUGCACGCCUUCACCCCAUCGGGGUAUCAGAAGGUAGCCAAAACGGCAGGAGUAGAGCGCCCACCUGUUUAGACAGGUUCAAGUAAGAAUUCUCGACACGGCUCAGGCGGGGUUCUC